GAGAGUCUGAGUGGCGAAACUUAGUUCAUCUUUUUCCAGGCAAUAGCUUGGAGAAUAAAGGUGUGGGCAAGACUGGUGGCAGCCGCCGCGGUAACACCAGCGCCUCGAGUGGUACCCACGAAUAAUGGGCCUAAAACGUCCGUAGCCGGACCUGUAAGUCCACUGUGAAAUGUUGGAGCUCAACUCUAACCCGUGCAGUGGAUACUGUUGGUCUUGGGAAUGGGGGAGGGUCGGAGUACUUUCAGGGUAGGGGUAAAAUCCGUUGAGCCUGGGAGGACUACCAGUGGCGAAGGGCCGAUCCAAAACAUAUCCUACGGUGAGGGAAGAAACUGGGGGAGCGAACGGAUAAAUACCCCCGUAUCCCAGCUGUAAAUGAUGACAAUGAGUGUGCUGGUGAUAAUCACAAGAAAGGUGUAACGUAGUGUUAGUCUUCCCCUGGGGGUACAUGCAAAUUAAAUUAAGGAAUUGCGGGG
rnacentral:rRNA from 1 species